rnacentral:rRNA from 1 species
AUUGAACGCUGGCGGCAGGCCUAACACAUGCAAGUCGAACGAGUGGCGGACGGGUGAGUAAUGUCUGGGAAACUGCCCGAUGGAGGGGGAUAACUACUGGAAACGGUAGCUAAUACCGCAUACCAUCGGAUGUGCCUAGAUGGUACUAGCUUGUAGGUUAGGUAACGGCUCACCUAGGCGACGAUCCCUAGCUGGUCUGAGAGGCUGACCAGCCACACUGGAACUGAUACACGGUCCAGACUCCUACGGGAGGCAGCAGUGGGGAAUAUUGCACAAUGGGCGCAAGCCUGAUUCAGCCAUGCCGCGUGUGUGAGGAAGGCCUUCGGGUUGUAAAGUACUUUCGGCAGGGAGGCGUUACCCGCAGAAGAAGCACCGGCUAACUCCGUGCCAGCAGCCGCGGUAAUUC